rnacentral:lncRNA from 1 species
CUUUGGUCUCCUUGAUCACCUACAUAAAGGAUCUCAACCGGUCGCAGAGUAUAUGCAGUAUGCCAAAUCUCUUUCAAAUACGCUCUCCCUCAUGAAUGCACCACUCGCACCUGAUCUCCUUACAGAUGAAAUCCUAUCUGGCCUUGGUGAUGAAUUCAGCUCUGUAAGUUCUGCUAUUCGUGCCCAUGAAACCACAAUCUCCUUCGACGAGCUUCAUGAAAAAUUGUUUACUUUUGAAUCUCUUAUAAAGCAUGAAGCUGUCAAAAAGUCACCUGCUCCUACUCCUGUAACAGCCAAUAUCGCCACCAAAGCACACCCUCACCGACGUUCCUUUAGUUCAAGGCCUGCAUAUUCUACCCACUCAGAGUCUCGGCCCCAACAAAACAGACACCAACCUGGUCCACAACCUAACUAAAUGACUCCAAGACCCUAUCAUGGAACCUAUCAGUUCUGUGGCCAACAAGGACAUUCCUCCAGAUGGUGUCCUCACGUCAAACAUGUUCCCUUGCCUCACCAAUAUACUACUCCUAAUUCCCGAACUCCAGUUCGACUAUAUAUCCAUCAAGCCAAUAUUGCUGCCCCAAUAACCUCCUCUAAUUGGAUUCUUGACUCUGGGGCAUCUCAUCACAUUACUAUUGACCUACAGAACCUUUCCCUCCACUCUGAAUAUGCAGGUCCAGAUGAUGUAAUUAUUGGUGAUGGUGCUGGUCUCUCGAUUUCUGACCUAGGUUCCACCUCUUUACCCUCUAAAUCCACUUCAUUUACUUUAUCCAACGUUUUUGUGUUCCAUCCAUGAAAAAGAAUUUAAUUUCUGUUUCACAAUUCUGUCUUCAAAAUAAUGUUUCUGUUGAAUUCUCAUCUAAUUCUUUUUCUGUGAAGGAUUGAAAACGGGAAUCGUACUCCUGCGUGGUCAAACUAAGGAGGACAUAUAUGAGUGGCCGAAUGCUACUCCUCAUCCAUCGCCUGUGAUUGCCUUCUCCUCUGUCAAAUGCUCCGUGACUGAUUGGCAUUCCCGCCUUGGUCACCCCUUUGCCAAAGUGUUCGAUCAUUUACUUUCCAAUGCACGGAUUCCAUUGUCUUCUCAUUGUCUUAGGAUCAAUAAUUGUGAUGCAUGUCUUUGUAACAAGAAUCGCAAAUUGCCUUUUUUUGAAUCUAGUCUUGCUAGUGAUUCUCCUCUUAGUUUAUUCUGAUGUUU